GAUAUAAUGAGAGGUGCUCGAAAUCAUUAUAACAACCACUAAAAUGAUAAUAAUACUAUUAUUUAAAAUCAUGUUGCACCAUAUUGAAGCCAUCAUAGAAAGCAGUUGCUAUUUGCCACUCUUGCUGACUUUUGAUCCAAUUAUUCCUAAUUUUCUCUCACUAGAAAUCCUUGGUUUCUCUUUCUUUUUUAUUUUUUUUCUUACCAGAUAAUAGAUUAUCCAUUGCACUACUAGGAACCACCACAUCUCCCACAACAUCAAAGGAAGUUUCUUGACACUGAAUGAUCAGAAGGGGAUCGCAUAAGUUUGAUGAAAGAAUGGACUCAAUGCUAGAAUUAACUACUGUAUAGGAGACUACACUCCAUCAAGUAUAGAAAAGCAACACAAGAGGGCCUGCAGCUCUCUCUACUUGCAAGGGGAGUAAUUUGUUGUUUGCCAUUCUACCUCAUCCUCUCUUGCUCUCUCUUUCUCUUUCAUUCCCUCCUAGGUUGAC
rnacentral:lncRNA from 1 species